AACGAACGCUGGCGGCAUGCCUAACACAUGCAAGUCGAACGAGACCUUCGGGUCUAGUGGCGCACGGGUGCGUAACGCGUGGGAACCUGCCCUUAGGUUCGGAAUAACUCCCCGAAAGGGGUGCUAAUACCGGAUAAUGUCUUCGGACCAAAGAUUUAUCGCCUUUGGAUGGGCCCGCGUUGGAUUAGCUAGUUGGUAGGGUAAAAGCCUACCAAGGCGACGAUCCAUAGCUGGUCUGAGAGGAUGAUCAGCCACACUGGGACUGGGACACGGCCCAGACUCCUACGGGAGGCAGCAGUGGGGGAUAUUGGACAAUGGGGGGAAGCCUGAUCCAGCAAUGCCGCGUGAGUGAUGAAGGCCUUAGGGUUGUAAAGCUCUUUUACCCGGGAUGAUAAUGACAGUACCGGGAGAAUAAGCUCCGGCUAACUCCGUG
rnacentral:rRNA from 1 species